rnacentral:lncRNA from 7 species
AUCAAGAGCAUUGCUGGGGAAGAUGUCUGAACCUCAAGGUAUUCCCAGCAAACUCUGUUUCCAAAGACUGCAAAGGAGAUGCUGUCAAAACAUCCCAUGGUUAUUGUACUGCUCAGGCACCACGGAGAAGAGCUGCAUCAGACAUCCAAGGAAGAGAUCACACGUCUAGAAAGCAGCAGAGGAGAGGCUGAGCCUGGGGUCCUGGUGACCUUCAGGCACCUGGAAAAGGCCGGGGCUGGGUUGUUACUCCCAGCUCACAAGUUAGGAAAACAGAGAAGUCCCUGGCGGAGCAGCUUCUGGAGUGUAACUCACCGGUGAACUGCAGCUCUUUCCUGCCUGCAAUCACAUCCCUAAAGUGACAUAUCUCCUGUUUCUCUUGGCUGGGCAGAGUCUGGCAGGUAGCUAGGCUAGGCUGGCUGCUCUUGCCAAAGAGCUGGCUGUGGAGCCACUGCGUUCUUUCUUUCAAGCACUUGAAUCUGGCUAUUGCCUUAUUAGCGAAUGUCCAUGAAUACAUAGCCUCUCAAUCUUAUAAAAAUUAAAACAAAAAGUUGCCACUG